UACAGAGGGUGCGAGCGUUGUCCGGAAUCACUGGGCGUAAAGGGCGCGUAGGCGGCUUGAUAAGCGUGCGGUGAAAGCCCGGGGCUCAACCCCGGGUCGGCCGUGCGAACUGUCGAGCUGGAGCACUGUAGAGGCAGAUGGAAUUCCGGGUGUAGCGGUGGAAUGCGUAGAGAUCCGGAAGAACACCGGUGGCGAAGGCGGUCUGCUGGGCAGUUGCUGACACUGAGGCGCGACGAGCGUGGGGAGCAAACAGG
rnacentral:rRNA from 1 species